CGUAGCUUCCUUGUCGUGUGGCCUCAGUCCUUCGCCGUCCCUCGCCGUCCUUCGCCAUCGCACGCCACCGCACCCCAUCUCUCGAAAUCUGCAGACAUCUUGAUUUUUCCCACGCUGUCUGUCAGGUCUCCGCCGCCACUCGACGCCAGGGCGCCGGGUGAGUCCACAGCAGGGCGCAUGGUCGGCUCCACUCUCACCAUCGGGGGAAACUGAGGCCCCGGGGAAGGCGGCCAGAGAGGUCAGGCCCUGUCCUUGGUGCAGUGUCUCGUCCUCUUUGCCGGAGUGAGCCCCCCAGGAUUCGCGUGUCCUCGGGAAAGACACUGGCAGGAGUGUCACAUGACUGCCGCCCCAUGUGUGUGAGAGGCGUCCUCUGGGAGAGCAUGGAUCCUGAGGUCCCAGGAUUGUCAGCUGACCUCUGUCCUGUGUGCCCAGUGGCCCCAGGUGACGUGUCUUCAAGAAGAGGCUGAGCUGCGGUGCUUGUAAGGGUCUCAUUCUGUCACCCAGGCUGGAGUGCAGUGGUGCAAUGAUGGCUCACUGCAGCCUCGACCUGGGCUCAAGUGAUCCUCCACCUCAGCUUCCUGAGUAGCUGGGACCACAGAGUCAUGUGCUGUUCCUGGGGCUUGGAUGAUGUAGGGGAAGCAAGGUGAA
rnacentral:lncRNA from 10 species